GCUUCCAUUAGAUUUUGCAGUAUUUUCAGAAACGAGGAAAGAACAAAAUGGAUGUGUUUUAAAUGCACCCCAAAAAAUAAAUUAAUUGAGAAUAUAGUAAAAACGGUAACCGUACCAUUGAGUUACUGGGGAAAAAAAGAAGUUAUAAACGGAUGUUGCGUUUUCUCGAAUUCCCAGGGAUUGUGUUAUAUACUUCAGUAUCUUGGAUCAAUGGUUUCGGGAUGUAAGGGCGUUUACCCCAGCCUCCGAAGAGGAGUUUCAGCACCACGAACUGAAGUCAUAUCGUGGCUACUGUCCCAACAUUGCCCUACCAGUGCUCUUCAGCUUUUCGAGAUACAUUAAGAUCUGAAGAAUCAGAAAUCCAUUCAUCCCAGUGACGGUUUCACCAACCUAGAGCCUGCCCCAGGAACAUAGGACAGAAGGCAGGAUGAAGAGCACGUGGGUGACUUCAGCCAAGAUGGGACACCAGUCCACCAUAUUGCAACAGGAAAAAGGAACAGUCAGAGAUCACCCAAAUCAAACCCAGCUACUCAAGAUGUUAUUGGAAGCUUAUACUGUAGGAAAACCAAUGCAGAAGCUAACCUAACCUAAGCUGAGUCAGCAGUGAUAACUGCCACGUCACUACAGUAUGCUGCCCUUCACUCAGCUUCUUUUUUUUCCAUUUGAGGAAAACUUAUCCUCUUCUUGUUUCUUUUGCAGACUUCAUGCUCACAUACCUUCCUGCUCUAACCUCUUAAUGUAUGAUCAGCUCACUGCCCUCUCUUAAAUCCCUGUUUGGUAGCUCAACACUAACAGUAAAAUGAUCCUUCAUAUUGUAUUAAAACUAAGGAUCAGUUUUAGUCCUCUCCCUUGUUUCUCAUAUAUUUUCAGUUCAGUAAGUACUGCUAUAGUACUGACACAACUUAUCAUCUUGAUAUAGUGUGUGACUCACUCUGCAGCUGAUGACCAGUACAUUAAUUUCACAAUAAGAGAAAGAACAUACAGUAGUAAAACGUGAAUUUCACUGUUCGGAGCUUGUAAGCUUGGGAAUUUGGUAAUUAGUGGAAUGUUGGAAACUGGGGAAAAAGUGGAUGCAGAUUAAAAAAAUGAUUUCAUAUUUAAUAUUCCUGCUAAUUUGAGUUUUAGUGUGGGAUACAUUGCAAUGAUGCUUAGUGGUAAGUAUUGCAAUCCUGCAGGUGGCAGUAAUUACCUGUUUUUUUUAAGAAAAAAUCCAUGCACUGAAAUGAAGGAACUGAAAAAGAGGUAUGUAUACUGUAACUGAGCAUUCUUAUAUCAAAACUCCACGUAGAAAAGAUGUCCUUAAUAUGAUCUACUGUAUGUAUUUAUUUUUAUCACUGUUUUCUUGAAUGUGGCGUGUUUGAAAUUAAUAUGCAAGUGGUUUAUUGAUCAUGCUUUUUUGCUGCAAUACAUUUCUUUCUUUGCUGUGCAUGUCCAACCUACUCCUGAUAAAAGCUGUGCUAUUCCUUGAUA